AGAAUCAACGCUGGCGGCGUGCCUAAUACACGCAAGUCGAACGCGAAAGUCCCGCAAGGGAUGAGUAGAGUGGCAAACGGGUGAGUAACGCGUGGGUGACCUGCCUUCGAGUGGGGGAUAACGUUUCGAAAGGAACGCUAAUACCGCAUGACAUCCUGUCUUUUAACAGACGGAGAUCAAAGCCGGGGAUCGCAAGACCUGGCGCUUGAAGAGGGGCCCGCGUCCGAUUAGCUAGUUGGUGGGGUAAUGGCUCACCAAGGCAACGAUCGGU
rnacentral:rRNA from 1 species